rnacentral:rRNA from 1 species
ACUCUAAGCGGUGGAUCACUCGGCUCAUGGGUCGAUGAAGAACGCAGCAAACUGUGCGUCAUCGUGUGAACUGCAGGACACAUGAACAUCGACAUUUUGAACGCAUAUCGCAGUCAUGCUUAUGUACUAAUAAUUUAUGUGCUUACUAAUAUUGAUUGUAAGACUAUCUAAUUAAGUUUAUAAAUUUUUAUAAGCAUAUGUAUAUUAUUGAUAAAUAAAAAACAAAUAUAAAAAAUAAAUGAAAAACAUUAUCUCACAUUUGAAUGUGAAAAACGAAGAGAAAUAUUUUCUUUUUCAAUCAAAUAAUACUGAGAAAUGUCUAGCAUAAAAAAUUGAAAUAUUUUUCAUCUAGAAUUGUCUCUUAUUAAUGAUUCGGAAAUAGAAAAAUCUUGGUUAUGUUAUUAUUCUUCGUUGGUUCGUUAAAAAUGGAUAAAUAAAAACUUUGCAUACAAGAAUUAAUAAAAAUGUUAUAACGAAUUUAAUUAAAUGUUUUAUCAUUAUAUAUAAAGAAUUUAUGGCAAGAUAAAGUUAUAUACAACCUCAACUCAUAUGGGACUACCCCCUGAAUUUAAGCAUAUUAAUUAGGGGAGGAAAAGAAACUAACAAGGAUUUUCUUAGUAGCGGCGAGCGAAAAGAAAACAGUUCAGCACUAAGUCACUUUGUCUAUAUGGCAAAUGUGAGAUGCAGUGUAUGGAGCGUCAAUAUUCUAGUAUGAGAAAUUAACGAUUUAAGUCCUUCUUAAAUGAGGCCAUUUACCCAUAGAGGGUGCCAGGCCCGUAUAACGUUAAUGAUUACUAGAUGAUGUUUCCAAAGAGUCGUGUUGCUUGAUAGUGCAGCACUAAGUGGGUGGUAAACUCCAUCUAAAACUAAAUAUAACCAUGAGACCGAUAGUAAACAAGUACCGUGAGGGAAAGUUGAAAAGAACUCUGAAUAGAGAGUUAAACAGUACGUGAAACUGCUUAGAGGUUAAGCCCGAUGAACCUGAAUAUCCGUUAUGGAAAAUUCAUCAUUAAAAUUGUAAUAUUUAAAUAAUAUUAUGAGAAUAGUGUGCAUUUUUUCCAUAUAAGGACAUUGUAAUCUAUUAGCAUAUACCAAAUUUAUCAUAAAAUAUAACUUAUAGUUUAUUCCAAUUAAAUUGCUUGCAUUUUAACACAGAAUAAAUGUUAUUAAUUUGAUAAAGUGCUGAUAGAUUUAUAUGAUUACAGUGCGUUAAUUUUUCGGAAUUAUAUAAUGGCAUAAUUAUCAUUGAUUUUUGUGUUUAUUAUAUGCACUUGUAUGAUUAACAAUGCGAAAGAUUCAGGAUACCUUCGGGACCCGUCUUGAAACACGGACCAAGGAGUCUAACAUAUGUGCAAGUUAUUGGGAUAUAAACCUAAUAGCGUAAUUAACUUGACUAAUAAUGGGAUUAGUUUUUUAGCUAUUUAUAGCUAAUUAACACAAUCCCGGGGCGUUCUAUAUAGUUAUGUAUAAUGUAUAUUUAUAUUAUUUAUGCCUCUAACUGGAACGUACCUUGAGCAUAUAUGCUGUGACCCGAAAGAUGGUGAACUAUACUUGAUCAGGUUGAAGUCAGGGGAAACCCUGAUGGAAGACCGAAACAGUUCUGACGUGCAAAUCGAUUGUCAGAAUUGAGUAUAGGGGCGAAAGACCAAUCGAACCAUCUAGUAGCUGGUUCCUUCCGAAGUUUCCCUCAGGAUAGCUGGUGCAUUUUAAUAUUAUAUAAAAUAAUCUUAUCUGGUAAAGCGAAUGAUUAGAGGCCUUAGGGUCGAAACGAUCUUAACCUAUUCUCAAACUUUAAAUGGGUAAGAACCUUAACUUUCUUGAUAUGAAGUUCAAGGUUAUGAUAUAAUGUGCCCAGUGGGCCACUUUUGGUAAGCAGAACUGGCGCUGUGGGAUGAACCAAACGUAAUGUUACGGUGCCCAAAUUAACAACUCAUGCAGAUACCAUGAAAGGCGUUGGUUGCUUAAAACAGCAGGACGGUGAUCAUGGAAGUCGAAAUCCGCUAAGGAGUGUGUAACAACUCACCUGCCGAAGCAACUAGCCCUUAAAAUGGAUGGCGCUUAAGUUGUAUACCUAUACAUUACCGCUAAAGUAGAUGAUUUAUAUUACUUGUGAUAUAAAUUUUGAAACUUUAGUGAGUAGGAAGGUACAAUGGUAUGCGUAGAAGUGUUUGGCGUAAGCCUGCAUGGAGCUGCCAUUGGUACAGAUCUUGGUGGUAGUAGCAAAUAAUCGAAUGAGACCUUGGAGGACUGAAGUGGAGAAGGGUUUCGUGUGAACAGUGGUUGAUCACGAGUUAGUCGGUCCUAAGUUCAAGGCGAAAGCCGAAAAUUUUCAAGUAAAACAAAAAUGCCUAACUAUAUAAACAAAGCGAAUUAUAAUACACUUGAAUAAUUUUGAACGAAAGGGAAUACGGUUCCAAUUCCGUAACCUGUUGAGUAUCCGUUUGUUAUUAAAUAUGGGCCUCGUGCUCAUCCUGGCAACAGGAACGACCAUAAAGAAGCCGUCGAGAGAUAUCGGAAGAGUUUUCUUUUCUGUUUUAUAGCCGUACUACCAUGGAAGUCUUUCGCAGAGAGAUAUGGUAGAUGGGCUAGAAGAGCAUGACAUAUACUGUUGUGUCGAUAUUUUCUCCUCGGACCUUGAAAAUUUAUGGUGGGGACACGCAAACUUCUCAACAGGCCGUACCAAUAUCCGCAGCUGGUCUCCAAGGUGAAGAGUCUCUAGUCGAUAGAAUAAUGUAGGUAAGGGAAGUCGGCAAAUUAGAUCCGUAACUUCGGGAUAAGGAUUGGCUCUGAAGAUUGAGAUAGUCGGGCUUGAUUGGGAAACAAUAACAUGGUUUAUGUGCUCGUUCUGGGUAAAUAGAGUUUCUAGCAUUUAU